rnacentral:rRNA from 1 species
AUGGCGAACUCCGGCGAAAAGAAGAAAGGGCCGAGGGCUCUAGUGGGCGAGGAGGCUUGGGGAGAGGCUGGUGAGAGUAAAAAGGCCGGCCCAAUAGGCCCCAGGGGGUACGCGGAGGCCGCACUAUCCUCCUCUUGUACGCCGCCCCAAAUCAUCCCGCCUCCUCCCUUCAAACUUCAAAACCCGAAAGGUGGUCGCCGCCUCCGCCGCAGCCGCCUCACCCGGAUCCCGCCGGCGCUGGGGAGAGCUUUCCUCUUCGGCACAGAUCUGAACGCGGACCGCUAG